CACUCUAACCCAUUUAGAAUUUCAAAAUGAAGCCUGAACUAGACAAUAACCUCAAUCUAAAAUAUAUAUUGUGUGCCUGGUGAUGGUUUUAUACUGGGUUUGUACUACUUGAGAAAUAUGGAAGAGUGCAUGAAGCGUUUUCUCUUCUUUGCCGUUACAAAGGGCCAUGUCUCUGGUGUGUACACUAGCUGGGAGUAGGCCAAUGAACAAGUUUUAAACUUCAUCCAUCCAGAAUUUUAUUGUUUCAAUAGCUAUGAACAAGCCACAUUAUGCUUUAAAGCUAGAAUGUAUAUGAUUUCCUCAGAGAAAUCUGCGACGUUUGAACUGAGUGGAAACUCACGCAAAGCAUCUAGUCAAAAGCUUCCAUUGUUAUGCGGUGGACCACGUAGGCGUCCUGUUGUGACAUGCUUCCGGUAAUUCCCAGGGAGGAGUUGAAUGGUGACUUUGCCAUUGUCAGUGACAUGGAAGAGUGGCUGUUGAAGACCUGCUACGAGGCUAGAAUUCCUGGUCCUUGUUUCUUCAAACAGGACCGUUUUUUGAGAGAUGACGAUCCAUACUUCAGGUUCACUGUGGUUGUUCCCGGUGACCCAUUUGAGAUUCCACUUUCUAUUAAGGGGCGGUUUUCUUUAAAUGAGAAGGCUGCAUGAGAGGAUGCUGCACUGAAGAUGCUAGACCGCGUGGUUGAGUUAUCUGGAAAGGAUAUCCGCGACUUUAAUUACUCAAAGGUGAAACUUCUUAAUGACUCAAACUCUGCACUUCGUGCUAAGGUUGGUCAGUUGGAGGAUGCUUACGAGAAAUUCAUGGCUAGCUAUGAAUCUCUUCUAAACGUCCACAUUGAAAGACAAUCACCUUGAGACCGUUUCGAAAUUUAGUUAGUGUUGAUAAUGUUUUUAUGUUUUGUUUAAGAAUGUUUUGUUAUUUCAUAAUCGGUUGUUGUUUUAGUAUGUUAAUUUAAGUGGUGUAUGUUUAAAGUAAAUAUCCCUGUGUUUUUGGUC